rnacentral:rRNA from 1 species
GAUGAACGCUAGCUACAGGCUUAACACAUGCAAGUCGAGGGGAAACGACAUCGAAAGCUUGCUUUUGAUGGGCGUCGACCGGCGCACGGGUGAGUAACGCGUAUCCAACCUGCCCAUCACUUGGGGAUAACCUUGCGAAAGUAAGACUAAUACCCAAUGAUAUCUCUAGAAGACAUCUGAAAGAGAUUAAAGAUUUAUCGGUGAUGGAUGGGGAUGCGUCUGAUUAGCUUGUUGGCGGGGUAACGGCCCACCAAGGCAACGAUCAGUAGGGGUUCUGAGAGGCAGGUCCCCCACAUUGGAACUGAGACACGGUCCAAACUCGUACGGGAGGCAGCAGUGAGGAAUAUUGGUCAAUGGGCGAGAGCCUGAACCAGCCAAGUAGCGUGCAGGAAGCCGGCCCUAUGGGUUGUAAACUGCUUUUAUAAGGGAAUAAAGUGAGAGUCGUGACUCUUUUUGUAUGUACCUUAUGAAUAAGGACCGGCUAAUUCCGUG